rnacentral:rRNA from 1 species
UCGGGAAUUUUGGGCAAUGGGCGAAAGCCUGACCCAGCAACGCCGCGUGAAGGAUGAAGUAUUUCGGUAUGUAAACUUCGAAAGAAUAGGAAGAAUAAAUGACGGUACUAUUUAUAGGGUCCGGCUAACUACGUGCCAGCAGCCGCGGUAAUACGUAGGGACCAAGCGUUGUUCGGAUUUACUGGGCGUAAAGGGCGCGUAGGCGGCAAUUCAAGUCAUCUGUGAAAUCUCCGGGCUUAACUCGGAACGGUCAGAUGAUACUGCUUUGCUAGAGUGCAGAAGGGGCAAUCGGAAUUCUUGGUGUAGCGGUGAAAUGCGUAGAUAUCAAGAGGAACACCUGAGGUGAAGACGGGUUGCUGGGCUGACACUGACGCUGAGGCGCGAAAGCCAGGGGAGCAAACGGGAUUAGAUACCCCCGUAGUCCCUGAGCGGGCUGGCAAGGCGCAU